GAUGAACGCUAGCGGCAGGCUUAAUACAUGCAAGUCGUGGGGCAGCAUGAGUAGCAAUACUUGAUGGCGACCGGCAAACGGGUGCGGAACACGUACACAACCUUCCGAUAAGUGGGGAAUAGCCCAGAGAAAUUUGGAUUAAUACCCCGUAACAUAUAGAGUAGGCAUCUUCUUUAUAUUAUAGCUUCGGCGCUUAUUGAUGGGUGUGCGUCUGAUUAGGUAGUUGGCGGGGUAACGGCCCACCAAGCCUACGAUCAGUAGCUGAUGUGAAAGCAGGAUCAGCCACACGGGAACUGGGACACGGGCCCGACUCCUACGGGAGGCAGCAGUAAGGAAUAUUGGACAAUGGGCGAAAGCCUGAUCCAGCCAUGCCGCGUGAAGGAUUAAGGUCCUCUGGAUUGUAAACUUCUUCUAUUUGGGACGAAAAAAGGGAAUUCUUUCCCACUUGACGGUACCAAGUGAAUAAGCACCGGCUAACUCCGUGCCAGCAGCCGCGGUAAUAC
rnacentral:rRNA from 1 species